GCCCAUUAGUGUUAAUAGGUAAGGCUUGGGCCUAGGGCCACCAUAUAUUAAGGGCCUCAUAUUUAGAACUUAUUCUAUAUAUAAUAUUAGUAUUGGGCUAAGUUUAUCAUUGUUUUGGGCUGUGAAUCAAUAAUCAGCGUUAGGUUAUAAUUCAUGAAAAAAGGUAUGCAGAGAAAGAGGCACAAUCAAUGCAUAUUAAACGUCUGUUGGAAGCGGAAUGGUCGAUUUCUUUACCAUUUGUUUGUCCCUUUGCAUUUGUGAUAAAGGAAAUUACAGCGCAAGUGCCAAAUAUGCGGUUCUGAUUUAUUUCUCCAAAUUUCGGUUUUGAUUUGGGUUUCAUAGUCCAUUUUUGGUUUCAGUCAAGCAAAACGAUUCCAUUCUCUUCAGUUCUUGGUCUGGUACUCACAAAUGUUCUGCACAUCUUCCAUUUGUUAAGUGGCUCUUCAUUGCAGUUUCCUCUUCUUCUAUUAAUCGCCAGAUCUUUCAUCAACAUGUAUGAAUCCUCAUGGUUUUCAGAUCAUUCCGUAUGAUUAUUUCAUUGGAUGAAUGGAAAAUCAACUUAAAUCGAUUAUCAUUAUCAGUGGCGAAUCCAAUGGUUAUGGAUCUAGAGAGAGCGUUCCUAUCUUCCAGCAACGAAUCUGAUUAGAAACUCUCUCAUUGAAACCCGAAGGUAUCAAUACUUCUUCCUAUUCAUAUCCUUAUUACUUAAGAUUCAUGUUACAAAUUUGUUUCAGAGCCGCUUGAUUUUGCACACGAAUUUGAUCAGAAACUCCCUCAAAUGUUAUGUUUUUUUUUUCAUUCUGAUUCUUCGUUUCUGUAACAAGUUUCGUUUUCUGUGUCUUUGAUUUUUCCGAUUUCAGUCUUAAAUAAAACAAAUAACACAAGUUUUGUUUUUCCGGUUUCAUUCUUAAACAAAACAAAUAACACCAUGUAGUGACAUUCCUGAAUCAACACAUAACCAAUACUAACCUCUAAACCUAUGCAUUUUUACUAGAAUUUAUAAUUCAAUAACUGAACAAAAACAAAAUGGAAGAGUAAAUGAUGUUGGAGUAAUUCAUAAUUGUCUCCAUGCAAAAAUGAUGGAAUAGUUUGAAGAAGAUAAUGAUGAAAGAUAGAAGAAAAUAAAGAUGGAGGUUAAACUAAAUCGUGUAGUUUAUUAUAUGAAUCUGUUUUAGUUUAUUGAUCAGGUUGGAAAAUAAAGAUGGAGUUUAAACUAAAUCGUGUAGUUUAUUAUAUGAAUCUGUUUUGGUUCCCUUGAUGGGUUCUUUGAAAAGUCAAAGCAAUUUGCUUUGAUAAAAAAACGGGUUAAGUAACUUCUAUUAUGGUCUAGAUAUCCAUCAAAUUAAUUACCUAGACACACAAGGCCUAGAUAUAUGUUUGUUAAGUAAGUGUUAGACUGAUUUUUUUAAGUUCAUAAUGGACUUUCAAUUCAAUUAAUUGGGGUGAUUUGGUUGUUUAUUUCUUUGAGCAAUGACUUGGUUUCUACUAAAUCAAAUGACUUUAGCGUAUGCUGAUAGUUAACGCAUGACUUGGUUUCUACUCUGUUAAUUAUAAAUCAAAUGAUUUUAGUAUGUGUUGAUAGUUAUCCGCCUGAUGUUAUUGUUUUUGGCUCAUGCAUCAUGAUAUAUGAUGAAAACUGGUUGCUAGCUCGAAACGAUGCAGAAAUCAAAGGCUCGAAACGACAUUCAAAUUGUAGAUUAGAACUUAAAGGGUGCAUUCAACAGGGCCAGAAAAGAGAGUAGGAGUUUGAUAGAUUCGUCUUUAGGGUGUUUUUGCGAAACCAAAACUGGCGUCGAUCACGUACAAUCAACCUGAUUUAUGUGAAUUUUUGGGUUUCCAGGUCGUAUCUGACUUAAUUUGAUUUGUGAUUGGGUAGUUUUUUUUACAAGAGGUAAAAGGGAAAAGGUGUAUCAAUGCAAUUUUUGAAAUGAAGAUGAGUGCUUGGGCAUUUAUCUUCAGUUAACUAGCAUAAUUAUGGUUUAUAUUCA